GAUGAACGCUGGCGGCGUGCCUAAUACAUGCAAGUCGAGUGAACAGACGAGGAGCUUGCUCCUCUGACGUUAGCGGCGGACGGGUGAGUAACACGUGGAUAACCUACCUAUAAGACUGGGAUAACUUCGGGAAACCGGAGCUAAUACCGGAUAAUAUAUUGAACCGCAUGGUUCAAUAGUGAAAGACGGUUUUGCUGUCACUUAUAGGUGGAUCCGCGCCGGAUUAGCUAGUUGGUAAGGUAGCGGCUUACCAAGGCAACGAUGCGUAGCCGACCUGAGAGGGUGAUCGGCCACACUGGAACUGAGACACGGUCCAGACUCCUACGGGUAGCAGCAGUAGGGAACCGGACGCAAUGGGCGAAAGCCUGACGGUGCAACGCCGCGUGAGUGAUGAAGGUCUUCGGAUCGUAAAACUCUGUUAUUAGGGAAGAACAAAUGUGUAAGUAACUAUGCACGUCUUGACGGUACCUGAUCAGAAAGCCACGGCUAACUACGUG
rnacentral:rRNA from 1 species